UACAUAGGGGGCAAGCGUUGUCCGGAUUUAUUGGGCGUAAAGAGCGUGUAGGCGGCCAGGUAGGUCCGUUGUGAAAACUCGAGGCUCAACCUCGAGACGCCGGUGGAAACCGUAAAGCUAGAGUCCGGAAGAGGAGAGUGGAAUUCCUGGUGUAGCGGUGAAAUGCGCAGAUAUCAGGAGGAACACCAAUGGCGAAGGCAGCUCUCUGGGACGGUACUGACGCUGAGACGCGAAAGCGUGGGGAGCGAACAGG
rnacentral:rRNA from 1 species